AGUGUUUUCAAGUGACUUUUGGAACCCCUAUGUACCCUAGUUUGGUUAUAUGUUAUUUCCCUAAAGUUUGAGUGGUUUUGGGAUGUUUUUUGGGUGAAAAAUGUUCAUGGAAUUUUUUUUAGUUUUUUCAUGAGUGUUUCUUCAUUGUUCUUGACAUUUUUGCCAAGAACAAAAAGUUUGGUGUUUUGAUUCAAAGUUUUGAUUUAUUUCAUAAAGUUUUUUUUUUAAAUGAUUUAUCAUAUAUUUAAAAUGUAUUAGAUAUUUAUUUAAAAGGUGUAAGAAAUAUUGGUGGGUGUGAAAGGAUUAAUUUCCUUUCACACACACCACUUGCAUGACAUUUAUGUCAUGCACCACUUCCAUGCUUUAUGUCUAAAACUACAAAUCAACACACACAUCACUCCCUUUGCUUCCUAUAACCGGCCACUCCCUCAAAGGGAGUACUUUUGGGGCUUUUAUGCAAUUACAUAAAGUUUUGAUACUUUUGUGUAUUUGCACUUUGGCCCAAAAGUUUACGUUUUUACGUUUAGGUCCAAAAACGCUAAAGGACAAAUUGUUUUGCUCCUUUGAUGAAGUUUUUGCAUUGUUUAAAUUUUGGGUUCUAGUUGUAAUUACAUGAAGUAGUGGACUUUUGUGUUUUUACAAAGUGACCCCAAAAGUUUGUGUUUUCGCAAUAUAGCCCAAAAGUUGUGGUUAUUGCAUGAUGGCCCAAAUUAUGUUGAGAACAAAAUUGUUUUGUCUCUUUAAAUGAGAUAGGAUUUUCAUUUUAUUUAGCUCCAUUUAAAUCAAUUUUAUGGAUACAAAAACCAAAUGAAAAUGUUGCAUUCAAUUUUAAUUAGUUAAAGUGUUAAUUAAUUAAAGGGUGAUUAUGAACCUAAGCCUAUGAUAAUUGAGCUAUGUGAUAGGCCAUUUCAAAUUUGUUUGAACCAUGGGAAUGUGUAGAUUAGAUUUUGGUUGUAAUUUGAUUUGAUCAAAUGUUGUAAAAGAGCAUAAGCUCUUCUUUACUUUAAAGUAAUUUGAAUAUUCAAAUGUUGUAAUGAGCAUAAGCUCACCUUUACUUUGAAGUACUUCUUUCUUGCUUUAUUUGAUAUGCAUGAAAAUAAAGUAGUUGGGUCCAACGCCCCUAAGACAACAUGCCUUAAUGUGAUUAAACGCGUAACUAAAAUCAAUCACCAUCCCUAGACCGAGAUUCAACACAAGGCUCGUGUUGAAUCUAAUCAAAGGUUCAUAGUCAUCCUAAGGCCCUAAGGCAACUAUAUAGUCCAUCAAAUGAAUGCAAAAGGUUAUGUUAGUAGUAUCAUAUACUCUUGCUUUAAAAAACCGUUUUAUAAGCAUAGUGGGAGUAUUAUAUACAACUAAAACAAUCAAAUGGACCAAUAGUUGUAAUAGGACCAAAAUUGUUUUAAUAAAGAUUAAAAUGAAUAUUUAUAUAUGAUGAGACCUAAAACCCUCAACCAAACCAUUAUUAAGUUGAUAAGCAUGAGAGUGCUUUGAACACUCUUUCGUGGCCUUCCACCGUGAUAGGCUCCAAUUGUUUAUGACUUGUACACCGCCUUCACCCUAUCAUGGGAGAGUGCAAAGUGCAUGCUUAUACUCAGGAGGAGUUUAUUUAAAACAUUUGAUGAGGUUAAGGUAGGCAACGAG
rnacentral:lncRNA from 1 species